AAUUGGGCAAUUUUUAAAAGCCCAGGCCUCCAGAUUUGUGUUCUGUACACUUGAACUUUAAUGAACUUUUCUUCCUUUUCAGAUAGGCUAAGAACACCUCUACACCUCAUCAUGAGUCACCUAGGGACAAGGGGAGCCUUUCAAGCGCAGUCAUCUAUUGUUUCCUGGAGCUGAGCAUAUGUGAUGAGAACAGCCUUGGUCAGAACCAUGCAGCCGCCGAAUAGUCUUUGUGUCACAGGAGUGGAACGCUUGGAUUUUAGUCACCUUCUUUACUUGGAUAAGCCACAGAAACAAAAGCUAAACCUGGUGCGUAGCCAUGGUUCAGUUCACCCAUGAUAGGCCCUGAGAAGUUAGCCUUGGUUUCAGAUAUGUGUAAGUAAGCCAUGGUGAUUUGAAAUUGGGGAGAAUGAGAUGUGGUUGAUGACAUUUCCUGAGGAUCUGUUGAGUAAGCGGGAGACUCAUGUUUCUAAGGAGCAUUCGGUUACUUCAGGUCAAAGAGAUUUGCAUGAGAAAUUUGUGCACCUGGAAAUAUAAAUUGCACGCUUAAUAAUUGCAUGUGCAGUAAGGGAAGUUUUAUUAAGGCCUUGAGGAAGAUUGGACUCACUGGCCAUAUGUGCUAACAGCAGUGAGGAGAAAACACGGGUCUAGUUGAAAGGGAUUACAAUCUGGGUUUAGAGCAGGUGGGCGCUAGGAUUCGGAACAUUCUGACGAUGAGACCAGGAGGUAGAGCUGGGAAGGGCGUCUGGGCUAAAUGAGCAGCAGCAGAAAUCCAGUGCUUUUCCUUUUUAUGUGAAACACUCAAGUUUUGUGGGGAAGAUUAAGCCUGAGAAAUCUAAGAACAGUUUGACUAGUUACACUCUGGAAAUCUGGCAAGAGGAAAGGUGAGUGAUUAAGGUGGUUUCGGUCUAGCCCAUAGUGCUCAGCACUCUUUGGCACUGCUUGGUUUGGCAAAAUUGUUAACACCCUUCUGGAGGGAAGCUUGGGGCUGAGAGAUUAAGGGCAUUACAGGUCAAAGGUUGACUGUGUUAAUGUAUUUAUUUGGGAAACCAUACAAAAGCCCUUAUUAACCUUGGCUUUUGGAGACCGGGGUUGUCAAUCCUUCACUUUCGUGAUCCCAUUUUCACCUAAAAAUGUUUUUGAGCAGCCCAGUAUCAAAACAGAAUCUAUGUACCUCAGGUAGAAACAUGUUGAAUUGCGUGGUACCUGGAAUAAAUACUACGGACACUGGCAUCUUCGUUGGUUAGCUACCUAUCACGUGAGCUAUUCUUUCGUUCCUAUAAAUUUCGUUACUAUUUCAGGAGAGAAGGUAAGUUAUUUUUCAAAAAUAGGGUGGAAGGAAUGUUCUCUAUUAUUAAAAAAAAAAUUCCUCUUUCAAAAUGAAGCUUUCAGAUUCCUAAUCAUUUAGGGGAGCACUGUCUACCUGAAAAAAAAAAUACGAGGUGUCUUUUAGUCUCAGGGGGGUUUAGCAACAAACCAUUAUUGUUUGCAGGCUGAUUGUUCUGAGA